rnacentral:rRNA from 1 species
CGCCCUUAACCGGCCUGCCACCGCUUCGACUGUUCACUGUACCUUCCCCUAGGGAGCCGGCGCAGGGACACACAUGCGCAUCCGAGCUGGAUGGAAAUUAAUAUUGGAAGGCACAGCCGGUAGGCUUCUAAGUCGCCCCUGUGGAGCCGUCGACGGCGCGUCCAAGUGUGCCUGCCCGAGCGGAAAGAAAGGAAGGGGGCUGCUCGCUAGCCGCAGCCGCUCUCGCUUUAGGGGCGUGGUUUCUUAUGCGCAGCGGCAGUUCGGCAUCCAGUGUCCAAACGUAGAAGAGCGGGGAAGGCCUCGGGGGUGAGCCGGUGAGUGACUGUGGAAAUGAGGCGGAAAAGUCGGUGGCCAGACCAGCCAGAGCGGCCCCGCCGCAGCCAACCCUGGCCUCCCUCCAUGCGCUCCCCGCCUGCCACCUCCUCGCUACCUCGGGGACCUCCGCCGCUAUCGCUAGCACAAGUUGCGCGACGACGACCACAAGUACCACUUCGAGAAGAAGCGGUACAAGGUCUACUUCGAGCAGCAGUAGGAGAAGAUGGAGCAGCAGGAGGAGAAGCGGGAGCGGAAGAGGCCGGCCCCGGGGCGGCCGAAGAUCCAAUCCAGGAAGCAAAAAAAAGGGGAACGAAGCCAACCGAGGCCUAGGUAGGAACCUCGACAUUGUCGCCACGAUCUGGUAUGGAUGGAGCCACGUACAGACCAACCAACCAAAUUGUUUGACCCCUUUAAAUCAGAUGUCAUAGUACCACUGAGGCCCGACGUUUAACACACUUGAGCCGCUUAAUUCUCCAUCAUGUCGAAAUAUACUCGGGAUCAACUCUAAUACACCUGAAUCAGCCGCGAAAGAAGCUAACAAGACAUGUUAGAAUGAACACCUAAGCACUACAUCGGAGACGAUCCGCACGAGAAGAAGAACUUUUAGGACUCCGUCUCACAAGAAAAGAAAGAGGAUCAAGCACUAGCUGUUCGUAAUUAAAUCACAAGUAAGUAAGGGUUCCCUUUCUUUAAAUAUUUGACCCUACUGUCAAAACAAAGAACAGACUUCUUUUGACAGUUAGUACUAAAACCCUAAUUUAACACUUUAACAAACAAACAAAGAAGUUAAGUUUCGUUGGUAUAAGUGGUGUUCGGGGG